CACAGGAGGAGGGGCUGAUGAGGCACCUGUCCGGUAACGUACUGUACCCGGCUGUUUGCACGGACCAAUGGGCCUGUUACCCACUCCGCAACCACAUAUAGUGCUGUGGGUUAGGGUUUUAAUGCUGCUAGAGCAGAAAGGCAGUUGAAGAUCAGACGACGAGACGAAGAUGCUGCAGAUUAGAGGGAUGGAACCAUUUCCUGAGCAGGACAGAGACCAUCAGCUGGUUUACAUCGUCGGUACCAAAGCAUUAAGGAACUCUUCAAGAACAGCUCAUAUUUCUUACUCCCCUGAAUCAUCCACUGUUUCCUGUAAUGGUGGCGUUUCCAGUGGGCUCCUGAUCAUAAUCUCUCUAACCAGCCCAGCUUCAGGGACUACAGUGCUGAACAGUUUCUACAGAUAGUCGAUUCUACAGCUGCACCAUCAGGAAAAUAGCUUUCUAGAUGUCAGCUCAACAGAGGAAACCUUGAACCAUUUCACACAGAU